AACGAACGCUGGCGGCGUGGAUAAGACAUGCAAGUUGAGCGCUGGUCACGGGGUAGCAAUAUUCCGUGAUUGGAGCGGCGCAAGGGUGCGCAACACGUGGGUAAUCUGCCGUGAAGUCCGGGAUAACUUGCUGAAAGGCGAGCUAAUACCGGAUGUGACCCUCGGGAGGCAUCUCCCGGUGGUUGAAGUUGGGGACCGCAAGGCCUGACGCUUCAUGAUGAGCCCGCGGCCUAUCAGCUAGUUGGCGAGGGUAACGGCCCACCAAGGCUAAGACGGGUAGCUGGUCUGAGAGGACGACCAGCCACACUGGAACUGAGACACGGUCCAGACACCUACGGGUGGCAGCAGUCGAGAAUUUUUCACAAUGGGCGAAAGCCUGAUGGAGCGACGCCGCGUGGGGGAUGAAUGGCUUCGGCCCGUAAACCCCUGUCAUUCGCGAUCAACCCUUGCUAUUUAAAAGAUGACGAGCUGAUAGUAGCGAAAGAGGAAGGGACGGCUAACUCUGUGCCAGCAGCCGCGGUAAUACAGAGGUCCCAAGCGUUGUUCGGAUUCACUGGGCGUAAAGGGUGCGUAGGUGGCGAGGUAAGUCGGAUGUGAAAGCUCGGGGCUUAACCCCGAAAUGGCAUUGGAAACUACCUUGCUUGAGGGUUGGAGGGGGGACUGGAAUUCUCGGUGUAGCAGUGAAAUGCGUAGAUAUCGAGAGGAACACCAGUGGCGAAGGCGAGUCCCUGGACAACACCUGACACUGAGGCACGAAAGCUAGGGGAGCAAACAGGAUUAGAUACCCUGGUAGUCCUAGCCGUAAACGGUGCAUGUUUGCUGUAAAAGGAAUCGACCCCUUUUGUGGCGGAGCUAACGCGUUAAACAUGCCGCCUGGGAAGUACGGUCGCAAGAUUA
rnacentral:rRNA from 1 species